CGGGUGUGUAAGCGCAGCGAUGCGUUGAGCUAAUCGGUACUAAUGAACCGUGAGGCUUAACCUUACAACGCCGAAGCUGUUUUGGCGGAUGAGAGAAGAUUUUCAGCCUGAUACAGAUUAAAUCAGAACGCAGAAGCGGUCUGAUGAAACAGAAUUUGCCUGGCGGCCGUAGCGCGGUGGUCCCACCUGACCCCAUGCCGAACUCAGAAGUGAAACGCCGUAGCGCCGAUGGUAGUGUGGGGUCUCCCCAUG
rnacentral:rRNA from 1 species